GACGAACGCUGGCGGCAUGCCUAACACAUGCAAGUCGAACGGGAAGGCCGGGUCUAGGUGCGCAGGGGUGGGGAACGCGUGGGAACCUGCCCGUAGGUACGGAAUAACUGACCGAAAGGGGUGCUAAUGCAGGAGAAGGUCUUCGGGCAAAAGAUUUAUCGCCUUUGGGUGGGGCCGCGUUGGAUUAGCUGGUUGGGAGGGGAAAAGCGGACCACGGCGACGUUCCAUAGCUGGUGUGAGAGGAUGCUCAGCCACACUGGGCCUGCGACACGGCCCAGACUCCUACGCAGCGCAGCAGUGGGGAAUAUUGGACGCUGGGCGAAGGCGUGAUCCCGCCACGCCGCGUAAGUGAUGAAGGCCUUAGGGUUGUACAGCUCUUUUACCCGGGAUGAUAAUGACGGUACCGGGAGAAUAAGCACCGGCUAACUCCGUG
rnacentral:rRNA from 1 species